GAAUGGUUUGAUCCUGGCUCAGGAUGAACGCUAGCGGCAGGCCUAACACAUGCAAGUCGAGGGGUAGAACACUUCGGUGUUUGAGACCGGCGCACGGGUGCGUAACGCGUAUGCAAUCUACCUUAUACAGGGGAAUAGCCCAGAGAAAUUUGGAUUAAUGCCCCCAUAGCAUUACGACUUGGCAUCAAGAUGUAAUUAAAGUUCCAACGGUAUAAGAUGAGCAUGCGUCCCAUUAGUUAGUUGGUAAGGUAACGGCUUACCAAGACGAUGAUGGGUAGGGGUCCUGAGAGGGAGAUCCCCCACACUGGUACUGAGACACGGACCAGACUCCUACGGGAGGCAGCAGUGAGGAAUAUUGGUCAAUGGUCGCAAGACUGAACCAGCCAUGCCGCGUGCAGGAAGACGGUCCUAUGGAUUGUAAACUGCUUUUAUACAGGAAGAAACCCUCCCACGUGUGGGAGCUUGACGGUACUGUAGGAAUAAGGAUCGGCUAACUCCGUGCCAGCAGCCGCGGUAAUACGGAGGAUCCAAGCGUUAUCCGGAAUCAUUGGGUUUAAAGGGUCCGUAGGCGGUCUUAUAAGUCAGUGGUGAAAGCCCAUCGCUCAACGAUGGAACUGCCAUUGAUACUGUAAGACUUGAAUGCUUAGGAAGUAACUAGAAUAUGUAGUGUAGCGGUGAAAUGCUUAGAUAUUACAUGGAAUACCAAUUGCGAAGGCAGGUUACUACUAAGUGAUUGACGCUGAUGGACGAAAGCGUGGGGAGCGAACAGGAUUAGAUACCCUGGUAGUCCACGCCGUAAACGAUGGAUACUAGCUGUUCGGAGCAAUCUGAGUGGCUAAGCGAAAGUGAUAAGUUCCC
rnacentral:rRNA from 1 species